rnacentral:lncRNA from 1 species
GAGGGUAACUUCAGGAGUUUUAUCCUGAUUCAGCACAGGUUUAGGGGAUCAAACUCUGGAUGUCAGGUUUAAAGUAAGUACCUGUAUCUGUUGAGGCAUCCCAGAAACCCCUGUCUAUCCAAUAUUUAUGUUAUGUUCUUCAUGACACUUAUCGCCGUAGAACAUAAUAUUUAAGUUUGAAUACAACACAGAUAUGAACACAAAUAAUCAUAUGUAAGUUACUCACUUUGUUUUACCAUAAUCAUCUAAAAAUAUGCUUUAUAUGUACAAUUGGUCAGUUGAUAUUCAUGAGUUUUCAGUUGAUAAUUAUGUACUCAUUUAUACUGUCUUAAAAGUAGUUUGUUUUUCAACAAGGAAUCUGAUCUGUGAAAUUUACUAGUCAACUGAGACUAGAGAAUUAUGCCCUUAACAUUUAAGAAAAUAAGGAUGUAAAAUAUUCUAAUAAUAACAUAUCACUUACACGUUAGGAAGACAAUAAUUUUGGUGUGGUAUUAAAUAAAGGUAUAGUAGAUGACCUUUGGGGAUGGAAGUAAUACUGUGUUGUCCUUGGUAACUAGGAAAUAUUGUCAUUCUAUUGGCAUGCAGCUUGCAAUGAGAAAUUGAAGGAGCAAAGCUUUGCUGUAGCAGCACUGCCUCAAUCCAGUGAACUUUCUGCUGCUGCUCCUUUUCCUGUUUUCCCUAUGAAACCUUUAUGGCUUAAGACCCUUCAAACGUAGUCACCACUAUCUCCUGAACUUUCUGUGUAUUCAUAUGGGAUUUCCCGAAUGGAAGAAUUUAGUGCAGUUCCAGCUCCCACUAGAUACUCAACAAUUCCACUGACUAAGUGAAUUCGUGACUUGAUGAGUAUAUUUUCUUACAGGAAUAUGUCUAUCCAUCUGGAAUGGAAUUUGGGAUAAACAGGAGCAUUGGUAACAUGUUCAUAGAUAUUGAGUUUAUUAUAUCCUGAGUUUGAGUGGAUCAUGGUCAGGUCCUAAACUUCAUUAAGUAUGAAUCUUUCAACUUCCACAUUUCCUAUACUGUAAAAUUCCGAGAGAAAGUUAGACAGCUUUUCUUUUCUAGCUUCUUUUUUUUCUUCUUUUUUUUUUUCUUUACAGAAUUGCUAAACAAGUUUGCAUUCUUUCUAAAGGAAAGAAGCCAACUAUGCACAUCCUUCUAGGUUCCUGUCUUACUUCUAUAUGGAGCCUGGUAAUUAGCCA